rnacentral:rRNA from 1 species
GACGAACGCUGGCGGCGUGCUUAACACAUGCAAGUCGAACGAAAAGGCCACUUUGUGGCUACUCGAGUGGUGACCGGGUACGUAACACGUGCGUAUCCUUCACCUAACUUCGGGACAACUUCAGCUAACUGAGGCUAAUACUGGUUACGAAUACUUUCUGCAUGGGGGGGGUUGGAUAGCUUAGGCGGGUUUGGAUGGCUUCGCGGCUUAUCAGCUAGUUGGUGGGGUAGUGGCUUACCAAGGCUUUGACGGGUAGCCAACCUGAGAAGGCGACCGGCCACAUUGGUACUGAGAGACGGCGCAGACUCCUACGGUACGCAGCAGUGGGGAGUAUGGCGCAAUGGGCGGAAGCCAGAGGCAGCAACGCCGCGAGCGGGAUAACGGCCUUCUGGUUGUAAACCGCUUUCAGCAGGGGUGAAGCUUGUGGGGACGGUACCUGCAGAAGAAGCACGGGCUAACUACGU